UCCCCUAGUAACGGCGAGUGAAGCGGGAAGAGCUCAAAUUUGAAAUCUGGUGGCCUCAGGUCAUCCGAGUUGUAAUCUAUAGAAGUGUUUUCCGUGCUGGCUCAUGUACAAGUCCCUUGGAACAGGGCGUCAUAGAGGGUGAGAAUCCCGUCCUUGACAUGAACUACCAGUGCUCUGUGAUACAUUUUCAACGAGUCGAGUUGUUUGGGAAUGCAGCUCAAAAUGGGUGGUAAAUUCCAUCUAAAGCUAAAUAUUGGCGAGAGACCGAUAGCGAACAAGUACCGUGAGGGAAAGAUGAAAAGCACUUUGGAAAGAGAGUUAAACAGUAUGUGAAAUUGUUGAAAGGGAAACGAUUGAAGUCAGUCGUGCUCUUUGGAUUCAGCCGGUUCUGCCGGUGUACUUCCUUUGAGUGGGGUCAACAUCAGUUUUGAUCGCUGGAUAAAGGCUGGAGGAACGUAGUACCCUCGGGUAAACUUAUAGCCUCCUGUCACAUACAGUGGUUGGGACUGAGGAACGCAGCACGCCUUUAUGGCCGGGAUUCGUCCACGUACGUGCUUAGGAUGUUGACAUAAUGGCUUUAAACGACCCGUCUUGAAACACGGACCA
rnacentral:rRNA from 1 species